CACGCGAACAAGUAGGCCGGGACACGUGAAAUCCUGGUUGAAGAUGGGUGGACCAUCAUCCAAGGCUAAAUACUACUUACUGACCGAUAGUGAACCAGUACCGUGAGGGAAAGGUGAAAAGAACCCCGGAGAGGGGAGUGAAAUAGAAUCUGAAACCGUUUGCGUACAAGCAGUGGGAGCAUGGUUUAGGCUGUGUGACUGCGUACCUUUUGUAUAAUGGGUCAGCGAGUUACUUUCAGUGGCGAGGUUAACUGAAUAAGGGAGCCGUAGAGAAAUCGAGUCUGAAUAGGGCGAUAGUCGCUGGGAGUAGACCCGAAACCGGGCGAUCUAGCCAUGUGCAGGAUGAAGGUUGGGUAACACCAACUGGAGGUCCGAACCGGGUAAUGUUGAAAAAUUAUCGGAUGACGUGUGGCUAGGAGUGAAAGGCUAAUCAAGCCCGGAGAUAGCUGGUUCUCCCCGAAAGCUAUUUAGGUAGCGCCUCGUGAAUGAUUACUGGGGGUAGAGCACUGUUUCGGCUAGGGGGCUGUCAUGGCUUACCAAACCGAUGCAAACUCCGAAUACCGGCUAAUUGAAUCACGGGAGACACACGGCGGGUGCUAACGUCCGUCGUGGAGAGGGAAACAACCCAGACCGCCAGCUAAGGUCCCCAAGUACUAGUUAAGUGGGAAACGAUGUGGGAAGGCAUAGACAGCCAGGAGGUUGGCUUAGAAGCAGCCACCCUUUAAAGAAAGCGUAAUAGCUCACUGGUCGAGUCGGCCUGCGCGGAAGAUGUAACGGGGCUAAAACUAGUCACCGAAGCUGCGGAUGUGCGCGAAGGCGCACGUGGUAGGGGAGCGUUCUGUAGGCUGAUGAAGGUGCAUUGAGAAGUGUGCUGGAGGUAUCAGAAGUGCGAAUGCUGACAUGAGUAACGAUAAUGUGGGUGAAAAGCCCACACGCCGGAAGUCCCAGGUUUCCUGCACGACGUUAAUCGGAGCAGGGUGAGUCGGCCCCUAAGGCGAGGCUGAAGAGCGUAGUCGAUGGGAACCAGGUUAAUAUUCCUGGACUUUUUAUAAGUGGUGAAGUGGGGACGAAGAAGGCUAGGUGAGCCAGGCGUUGGUUGUCCUGGUACUUGCAUGUAGGGGGGAAGACUUGGCAAAUCCGGUUUUCCAUAACUCUGAGGUGCGAAGUGGUUCUGACCUUUUGGUACAGAGAAGUCAUUGAUGCCCGGCUUCCAGGAAAAGCUGCUAGCCAUAACUUAUAGAGAACCGUACCGCAAACCGACACAGGUGGACAGGUAGAGAAUACUAAGGCGCUUGAGAGAACUCGGGUGAAGGAACUAGGCAAAAUGGUACCGUAACU
rnacentral:rRNA from 1 species